GGGAAGGCUGAAACUUAAAGGAAUUGACGGAAGGGCACCACCAGGAGUGGAGCCUGCGGCUUAAUUUGACUCAACAUGGGGAAACUUACCAGGUCCAGACAUAGUAAGGAUUGACAGACUGAGAGCUCUUUCUUGAUUCUAUGGGUGCUGGUGCAUGUCCGUUCUUAGUUGGUGGAGCGAUUUGUCUGGUUAAUUCCGUUAACAAACGAGACCUCAGCCUGCUAACUAGCUACGUGGAGGCAUCCCUUCACGGCCGGCUUCUUGGAGGGACUAUGGCCAUUUAGGCCAAGGAAGUUUGAGGCAAUAACAGGUCUGUUAUGCCCUUAGAUGUUAUGGGCCGCACGCGCGCUACACUGAUGUAUUCAACGAGUUCACACCUUCGCCGACAUGCUCGGGUAAUCUUUGAAAUUUCAUCGUGAUGGGGAUAGAUCAUUGCAAUUGUUGGUCUGCAACGAGGAAUUCCUAGUAAGCGCGAGUCAUCAGCUCGCGUUAACUAUGUACCUGCCCUUUGUACACACCGCCCGUCGCUCUUACCGAUUGAAUGAUCCGGUGAAGUGUUCGGAUCUCGGCGACAUGGGUGGUUUGCCGUCUGCAACGUCGCGAGAAGUCCACUAAACCUUCAUUUAGAGGAAGGAGAAGUCGUAACAAGGUUUCCGUAGGUCAACAUGGCGAAG
rnacentral:ncRNA from 2 species